UAUUGAUGUGUACAAAGUGAAUGUGAU
rnacentral:piRNA from 1 species